rnacentral:lncRNA from 1 species
AAAAAUAAAAAGGGUUUAGUCACCUAAAGGCAAAGCAUGAAGGAGAACACGAAUCAUAGUUGAGCUCAUAAGAUUGAGUUUUUCAAGCUUACUGGUUAGGUUGAGUCGGCCAUCUAGUGCCCAGCUUAGCUCCAAGGUGUUUACUGCUGAUGCAUAGGUAGUAGCGUAAUUCGAAGUGUAGUAAUUAAUUCCUAAGAAAUCCAAUGAUCCCUUGAGCAUUUCGGAUUCUGCUGGCGAGAAUUUGGGGAGUCGAUGCCCCACAAGAGAUUGCAUGGUCAUUGGGUACUCGCCAUAUGUGAUUGGAUGUAAAAACCUAAAAAAAAGAAUGAAAAAAUUCAUAUAAAAGUUAAUCAAUGAGUUGCCUACACAGUUCAUUCAUAAACAUUACUUUCGCUAGUUAAACAAUUUACCCUACCAAUGGUCAUAAUAUUAAUUUAUUGAUUCAUAGCAUAUAUUGUUAUUUUCCAAUUGUGCCAAUAUCAAUAAUGGGUUUUCAUUGUUACUAAAGAUCUAUCAAAAUGUGAAUGUCAUUUGGCAAAUCAUUGUAACACUUAAAGAUUCCAUGCAUGCAAUACUCUUAGUUUUUCUUAAUGCAUUCAAAAUCUAGUUAUUGUUACAAUCAAAAAAUGAUUACGUCAAUAUGAAUAGAAAAAAAUGAGGCAAUUAUCUAAAAAGGUCUCAACUACAUUUCUUGAUUUUUGAAUUAAUAUGAUCUUGAAGAUUACAAGUUGUAUAUAAAUUGGCACAUAUUCGAUAGUUAAAAAAAUAUACACUUUGAUGCCGAAGAACCCUAAUAUUUAACUAGGAUAGAUAGCAUUGAUGACAAAAAAUGUUGUCAUGUAAAUGUUUUAAAUGCUUUCACAUGGUUAUGGGUUUUCAAAAUAACCAUUUUUUUAUGACAUUGAUUGACAAUUGUCUUUUAAAUAUGGAAGAAGUUUUUUUCGUAAAGACAACUUCAAGAUUUAAUUGAAGUUGUCCCCUCCAAAUAACUUUCAACUAUAUUUGUUUAAAGUGUUGUAAAUUUAAAAAUAUUUUUUAAAUUAUAAUAUUUUAAAAGAAAAUUAAAUUACUAUAUUUUUCUCAAAAUCUCCCGCCAAGAAAUAGAGUACUUAACAGUUUUCACAUGCUCAAAAUCUUUUUGAAUUCAGAAAAAGGCCAAAAGAAAGUGGAAAUAAUUGAAGUGGAUUGAUUUGACCGUACUCAAUAAAGUGAGAAAUAGAUAAGUAGUUUUUGAAAGUUUUAAAAUUACUUAAAAUUAUUACCAUAUAAUAAUAACAAUAAUAAUAAAAUCUUUUCUCCAUGGAAAAAACUAAAAGAACAUAUUUUUUUUUAAAAGUUAUCUUUUUUGAAUUUUAGUUAUUUAUUUUGAUGAAAAACAAAAGUUAAUGCAUUUAUAUUAUAAAAAUAAAAUAUUUAUUAUUUUAUGUAGUUUCAUUUAUGACUUGGAUAAAAACCUUGUCAAUAAAAUAAUCGAUCUAGAUUUCGAACAUUUCAUAAAAUAAUUUGAAGAUAGAUAGAAUCGAUGGGCUGGAUUGACCAUUCUCUUUUUUUUUGUUCUUUUCUUCUUUUUUUAUUUUUUAUUUUCCCAAAACGUGUAACAUUGUCUUUCAAAAGGGUCACUAGCUUUUUUACUUUUUCUAAAGUGUUUUAUUUUCUAAUGUUUAAAGGAGGUUUGUGUGGGGCCCAUUUUUUUUAAAUAUUUCAAGCUUUAUUGCUUGUUUUUUUGUUUUGUUUCUUUGUUUUUUGGUUUUUUUUUUUUUUUUUUUUUUUUUUUGAGGUGGUUACCAUGGAGGAAAAUAUCGGGAUAUAUCGGCGAUAUAUCGCCGAUAUAUCUUGUAUCGGGAGGAGGCGACACGAUAUUUCAUGGAGAAAAAUCGGAGAGGAGAUAUUUCCGUAAAUAUCGCCAAAAUAUCGGCGAUAUAUCGGCGAUAUAUCGGUUCGGGGAGAUAUAUCGGAGAUUUUUUCAAAAAAUCUCCUCUGGUGGCAAAAAAUCGGAGAUAUAUCGAUGAUAUAUCGGAGAUAUAUCGGUGAUAUAUCGGUGAUAUAUCGGAGAUAUAUCGGUGAUUUUUUGGUGAUAUUUCCCCUCCUUUAUGCAACGUGAUCUGACGGCCCAGAUCACGCCCGUGUUGAUCCGACGGUCUAGAUGUGAUUCCAAUGGUAAUAUGGCGAUCCAACGGCCCGAUUGCUCCUAGUUUUUUAUCCAAUGGCUAAAAUUGAUUUUCAACAGUAAAUUAAUGUUCCAACGGCUAUUUUGGCCCAAAUUUCUUCUAUAAAUAACCCAAAUUUCAUCUAUUUCAUCCAUUUUUGCUUUCAUUCUUCAUUUGCUCUCUCAUUACUCCAAUUUUUAUUAAGGUUGCUCAAUUAUUUAAUUAUUUUAAGGUAUAUUUGUUUUAAAUUAUAAUUAAUUUUGUUUGCAAUUGUAAUUAAUUCAUGUAUUUUCAAUUAAUUAGUAUGUUUGCAAUAUGGAUGAUUUAAUGCUAUUUUUACAUUCAAUUGUAAUUAAUUUUUAUAUUUUUACUGAAUUAACUUAGGUUGAUUUGAUUAUUUAAUUAUAAAUUGAUAUGUUUAUUUUAGAUGAUUAUUUGUGAUUUAUUUUCACAUUUAAAAUUAAAUUAAACUAGUUAACUUAGCUAAAUUAUUUAAUUAAUUUAAUUAACAUGCUAAAUUAUUUAAUUAAUUUAAUUAACAUGAAAUAAUAUAUUUUGAAUAUGAAAUAUGUUUAUUUAAUGAAUUUAAUGUGUACAAAUUAUUGAUAUUUAAUGAAAUGAAAUAUUUUAUGUGACUUUAUAAUGAGAACAAUUACAAAAUUAACAUUUCUUAUAAAUCGACAUGAUGUAAUUACAUCUAAUAUCGCAAAUUAUAUCAUAUAUAUAUCAAAUUUUUCAAUAAAACAACAUUAAAAUGUCAAUUAUACUUCUAAUUAUAUUAUUAUGAGGUUUUUCUUGCAUUUUCAUGAGUUUUUAACAAUUUUAAGUCUACCAAUAUUUUUUUCCAGAAUAUCCGCCGAUAUAUCUCCGAUAUAUCCGAUAUAUCCGUAAAAUCGAAGUACCGAUAUAUCCGUGAUUACCGAUAUUUUCUUCCAUGGUGGUUACCAUGUAGUGAAGUCGCUUUCCAAUUUUCAAUUACAUACAAUAAGAUUCACAAGAAUACACAAUUAUUAUUUCCAAUUUAGAAUUUUUAUAUCAAAAUCAAGUAAUAGCAUUACAAAAUGAAUAAAAUAUAAAUAGAAAUGAUAAAAUCUAAAAUUAAUGAAAUAUCAAUAAAAUAAAUAAUAAAACUAUAUUUCACUCUUUAAUAUACAAACUAUCUUAAUAAAAAUAAAACACUGUAAUUUUGUAUUUAAUAAAAUAAAUUUUUUUAAUGUAUUUAUAUUUUAUAAUAUGAUAGUAUUAAAAAUAAAAAAUUUUAAGUUUUUAAAUCAUUUAUUUAUGUAUAAUUUUAAUAUGAAUCAUACAUUUAUGAUAUCAUCUUGCAUCAUGAUUCAAUCAUCAUUUUGUGAUCCGAUUAUUUAAUUUAUUUUGGAUAAGAAGAUAAACAAGCUUGAUUUCAAAACUUUUGGCUACUUUUGGCCAAUCAUGCAGAAAGCCAGCACUUCAUGUGGCCUACUGACAUCUUAUCGGAUCUGGAAUGAAUCCUACUGGGACCAUUGAAAUCCCAAGUUUUAAUAUCUCUGUUACGAUUUCUUAUAGCAACAGAUCAGCUACAGUUUUAUAAUAAAAUAUGGUUUUAGGGCAUGUGUGAAGCUUUGUGAAACACGAGGUGCGGCUGGCAGUAUGGAAAGUUUCAUCUUGAUGGAUUGGAUUCUCCUGUCAAAUACACAGUUCUACUCAAGCAAUUUAAUCAUAGAGGACUGCAUUUAUAUACUUUGAAAACUCUUUACGAGAUAAAUCAAUUUUAUGUACAUAACUACUAUGGAUUAACCUAUGCUUCAUUCUUGAAAAUUUUGAAAGAAAAUAAAUAAAUAAAUAAAAAGAAGAAAAAAAAAAUUGAAGUUAGUAGAUUAUUUUACAUGUUUUUUUUUAAUUAUUUUACCUAUUUUUUUCUUUUAUAUAUAAAGAAUAAGAAAUUUGAAAAUGUUUAAGGAUCUUUUCAGCAAUGUUUUCAAAAAGAUUUAUCAAAAAACAAAUUUUUAAAAUUGUUCUUAAAAUGGGUUUCAAUUGAUUUUAUGCAAAAAAAAAUUUGUUUGAAAACUUAUGUACAAUUUAAAAGUUUCUGAAGUAUUGUUUACGUCAUUUUCAAUUGUUGCUCAAUAUGUUUAUCGAAAAACAAUUGCAAACAUUUCAAAUCUUGUUUCUUCUUAUGACAUGAUAAAUAAUGUUUUCUAGGUACAUAAUAAACACCUCGAAAUAAUGUUUUUAGCUUAUAGCCAUGAAAAAAUGGAGAUUUAUGGUUGGUUGAGUCAUUCAAAGAAUCAUGUCAAUGGGAAAUUGUGUUCAUUGAGAGCUAUAAAUUGAAGUUAUAGAAGACACUUCAUGAAAUGAGAAAGACUCGAGGCUUUCUUCUUAUUAAUACUAAGUUAAGCAAGUCUCAUAUUACAACACAUAGGCAUUGUUUUCAUGGUGAAGAUCUUGAAGAUCCUCUUUUAGCACACUAAUACUAAUUAACGAUACCAAACUCUAGACGAUGGCAAAAACCACCUAGUAGCUGGGAUUACAUGUUUUAUUUUUGGAGGAACUUCUUGAACCAAUAAGCAGAAUGCUUUGGGUAUCGCUUUAAACCAUUUUUAUAAUCCACAUAACUGAGGCCAAAGCGAAAGGUGAAACCAGCAUCCCAUUCAAAGUCGUCAAGAAAAGACCAUGCAAAGUAUCCUUUCACAUUGACGCCCUCCCUGCCAAAAUUGCAUACAUACAUACACUAUAUUAGUAAUAAUAUUCUAGUACUUCGGAAAAAUCUCAAAAUUAGGAUGACCUAAUAUAUGUAUUACUGCAAGCUAGGCCUCAAUGUUAUAAAUUCCAACCUCAAUGAAGGCAAGAUUUGAUUUCAAGAAUAUAGUACAAUACCCUAAAAACUUCAAAACUAGACUUAGUGCAAUGUAAUAUCUUAGUUAAAUAUUUCAUAUUCUUAUUAUUAGAUUAUUAAUUUGACUUAAAAGCUUAACUUAUCACAUGUGAGCAUAAAUGAGAUAAACUUUAUAUAUUAUGCCAACGUGCUUAGGCUAAAACCCUAACACUCACAUAACCCAUGGAUGUUGCAUAUGUGAGCUAAAUGUAAUUACUCACUUGAUAGCUUUUGAGAGAUAGUACAAAUGUCCACGGUGGUAUGUUAUCCUCAAGGUAUCAUUAAGAUCUUCCUUCACAGGCACUGAAGCAUUAUUUGCAGUAGCCAAGCCUGCACAAGACCAUAUAACGGAUUAGUUUGAAUCAUAUUAAAAUGAAAUCAAAAUAUUGUUCCAUGACUUAAAAACAAUAUAAGUUGAUAAUCAAUUCAUUAAGCCUACCAUUCAUUCAUUAAGCCUACCAUUCUCUGUAAUGUAAAUAGUUGGAUUGUUGUAAUGUUCCUUGAUGUAAAGCAUAAGUUUUCUGAUUCCCCAUGGACAAAUGUAAAGCCAAUUCAACGGGGUCUACAAAAUCACACACCAUAGAUCACUUAGUAAUGAAUUCAUGAAUUCAUAUAGGUUAUGUCUCAUUCCCAAAACAUAUUAAAAAAAAAAUACUAAAAAAAUGUCAUUUUUUUUUUUCAUGUCUAAUUAUCCUUUGAAAAUAUCAAAGAAAUUAAAUAUAAUUAAAAUUAAUUAGAAAACUUAUAUUUUUUUAUUUUUAAAAUUUUUAUAUUGAAAAGUCAAAAUAAGUAAAAGGAACUUCAAGUAAUAUAUAAAAAUAAUUUAUUGGUUUUAUUUUUUAUUUUUUAUUUUUUUCCUUCUAUUUUUCCUCUAUUUUUUUUUAUAUUUUAUUUUUUUUGCGUCUUCCCUCAAAUUUUUUGAGGAACCAAACAUAACCUCAAAUGUCUAAGGACAGAGAUACUACCGGUUGGCCAAUGUUAACCCCAUCUUUCUCCGCUGUAGCCAUAGAAAAAAUAAAAAGGGUUUAGUCACCUAUAGGCAAAGCAUGAAGGAGAACAAGAAUCAUAGUUGAGCUCAUAGAUUGAGUUUUUCAAGCUUACUGGUUAGGUUGAGUCGGCCAUCUACUGCCCAGCUUUGCUCCAAGGUGUUUACUGCUGAUGCAUAGGUAGUGGCAUAAUUUGAAGUAUAGUAAUUAAUUCCUAAGAAAUCCAGUGAUCCCUUAAGCAUUUCGGAUUCUGCUGGCGAGAAUUUGGGGAGUCGAUGCCCCACAAGAGAUUGCAUGGUCAUUGGGUACUCGCCAUAUGUGAUUGGAU